rnacentral:rRNA from 1 species
UAUACAUGCAGUCGAGCGAACAGAUGAAGUGCUUGCACUUCUGACGUUAGCGGCGAACGGGUGAGUAACACGUAAGGAAUCUACCUAUAAGCGGGGGAUAACAUUCGGAAACGGGUGCUAAUACCGCAUAAUAUCUUCUUCCGCAUGGAAGAAGAUUGAAAGACGGCUCUGCUGUCACUUAUAGAUGACCUUGCGGUGCAUUAGUUAGUUGGUGGGGUAACGGCCUACCAAGACGAUGAUGCAUAGCCGACCUGAGAGGGUGAUCGGCCACAUUGGGACUGAGACACGGCCCAAACUCCUACGGGAGGCAGCAGUAGGGAAUCUUCCGCAAUGGGCGAAAGCCUGACGGAGCAAUGCCGCGUGAGUGAAGAAGGCCUUCGGGUCGUAAAACUCUGUUAUAAGAGAAGAACAAAUUGUAGAGUAACUGCUACAGUCUUGACGGUAUCUUAUCAGAAAGCCACGGCUAACUACGUGCCAGCAGCCGCGGUAAUACGUAGGUGGCAAGCGUUGUCCGGAUUUAUUGGGCGUAAAGGGAGCGCAGGUGGUUUCUUAAGUCUGAUGUGAAAGCCCACGGCUUAACCGUGGAGGGUCAUUGGAAACUGGGAAACUUGAGUACAGAAGAGGAAUGUGGAACUCCAUGUGUAGCGGUGGAAUGCGUAGAUAUAUGGAAGAACACCAGUGGCGAAGGCGACAUUCUGGUCUGUUACUGACACUGAGGCUCGAAAGCGUGGGGAGCAAACAGGAUUAGAUACCCUGGUAGUCCACGCCGUAAACGAUGAGUGCUAGGUGUUGGA